UUAAGCGACUAAGCGUACACGGUGGAUGCCCUGGCAGUCAGAGGCGAUGAAGGACGUGCUAAUCUGCGAAAAGCGCCGGCGAGGUGAUAUGAACCCUUGACCCGGCGAUGUCCGAAUGGGGAAACCCAGUGUGUUCCGACACACUAUCGUUAACUGAAUACAUAGGUUAACGAGGCGAACCGGGGGAACUGAAACAUCUAAGUACCCCGAGGAAAAGAAAUCAACCGAGAUUCCCCCAGUAGCGGCGAGCGAACGGGGAGCAGCCCGGAGUCUGAAUCAGCUUGUGUGUUAGUGGAACGGUCUGGAAAGUCCGACGGUACAGGGUGAUAGUCCCGUACACGAAAAUGCACAGGUUGUGAACUCGAAGAGUAGGGCGGGACACGUGGUAUCCUGUCUGAAUAUGGGGGGACCAUCCUCCAAGGCUAAAUACUCCUGACUGACCGAUAGUGAACCAGUACCGUGAGGGAAAGGCGAAAAGAACCCCGGCGAGGGGAGUGAAAAAGAACCUGAAACCGUGUACGUACAAGCAGUGGGAGCACCUUCGGGUGUGACUGCGUACCUUUUGUAUAAUGGGUCAGCGACUUAUAUUCUGUAGCAAGGUUAACCGUAUAGGGGAGCCGAAGGGAAACCGAGUCUUAACUGGGCGUUAAGUUGCAGGGUAUAGACCCGAAACCCGGUGAUCUAGCCAUGGGCAGGUUGAAGGUUGGGUAACACUAACUGGAGGACCGAACCGACUAAUGUUGAAAAAUUAGCGGAUGACCUGUGGCUGGGGGUGAAAGGCCAAUCAAACCGGGAGAUAGCUGGUUCUCCCCGAAAGCUAUUUAGGUAGCGCCUCGUGAACUCAUCUUCGGGGGUAGAGCACUGUUUCGGCUAGGGGGCCAUCCCGGCUUACCAACCCGAUGCAAACUACGAAUACCGAAGAAUGUUAUCACGGGAGACACACGGCGGGUGCUAACGUCCGUCGUGAAGAGGGAAACAACCCAGACCGCCAGCUAAGGUCCCAAAGUCAUGGUUAAGUGGGAAACGAUGUGGGAAGGCACAGACAGCCAGGAUGUUGGCUUAGAAGCAGCCAUCAUUUAAAGAAAGCGUAAUAGCUCACUGGUCGAGUCGGCCUGCGCGGAAGAUGUAACGGGGCUAAACCAUGCACCGAAGCUGCGGCAGCGACACUAUGUGUUGUUGGGUAGGGGAGCGUUCUGUAAGCCGUUGAAGGUGUGCUGUGAGGCAUGCUGGAGGUAUCAGAAGUGCGAAUGCUGACAUAAGUAACGAUAAAGCGGGUGAAAAGCCCGCUCGCCGGAAGACCAAGGGUUCCUGUCCAACGUUAAUCGGGGCAGGGUGAGUCGACCCCUAAGGCGAGGCCGAAAGGCGUAGUCGAUGGGAAACAGGUUAAUAUUCCUGUACUUGGUGUUACUGCGAAGGGGGGACGGAGAAGGCUAUGUCAGCCGGGCGACGGUUGUCCCGGUUUAAGCAUGUAGGCGGAGGUUCCAGGUAAAUCCGGUACCUUGUUAACGCUGAGGUGUGAUGACGAGGCACUACGGUGCUGAAGUGAUAAAUGCCCUGCUUCCAGGAAAAGCCUCUAAGCAUCAGGUAACACGAAAUCGUACCCCAAACCGACACAGGUGGUCAGGUAGAGAAUACCAAGGCGCUUGAGAGAACUCGGGUGAAGGAACUAGGCAAAAUGGUGCCGUAACUUCGGGAGAAGGCACGCUGAUAGGUAGGUGAAGCCCCUGCGGGCGGAGCUGAAAUCAGUCGAAGAUACCAGCUGGCUGCAACUGUUUAUUAAAAACACAGCACUGUGCAAACACGAAAGUGGACGUAUACGGUGUGACGCCUGCCCGGUGCCGGAAGGUUAAUUGAUGGGGUUAGCGGCAACGCGAAGCUCUUGAUCGAAGCCCCGGUAAACGGCGGCCGUAACUAUAACGGUCCUAAGGUAGCGAAAUUCCUUGUCGGGUAAGUUCCGACCUGCACGAAUGGCGUAAUGAUGGCCAGGCUGUCUCCACCCGAGACUCAGUGAAAUUGAACUCGCUGUGAAGAUGCAGUGUACCCGCGGCAAGACGGAAAGACCCCGUGAACCUUUACUAUAGCUUGACACUGAACACUGGUCCUUGAUGUGUAGGAUAGGUGGGAGGCUUUGAAGCGUGGACGCCAGUCUGCGUGGAGCCAUCCUUGAAAUACCACCCUUUAAUGGCUGGUGUUCUAACGUAGACCCGUGAUCCGGGUUGCGGACAGUGUCUGGUGGGUAGUUUGACUGGGGCGGUCUCCUCCCAAAGAGUAACGGAGGAGCACGAAGGUUGGCUAAUCCUGGUCGGACAUCAGGAGGUUAGUGCAAUGGCAUAAGCCAGCUUGACUGCGAGCGUGACGGCGCGAGCAGGUGCGAAAGCAGGUCAUAGUGAUCCGGUGGUUCUGAAUGGAAGGGCCAUCGCUCAACGGAUAAAAGGUACUCCGGGGAUAACAGGCUGAUACCGCCCAAGAGUUCAUAUCGACGGCGGUGUUUGGCACCUCGAUGUCGGCUCAUCACAUCCUGGGGCUGAAGUAGGUCCCAAGGGUAUGGCUGUUCGCCAUUUAAAGUGGUACGCGAGCUGGGUUUAGAACGUCGUGAGACAGUUCGGUCCCUAUCUGCCGUGGGCGCUGGAGAAUUGAGGGGGGCUGCUCCUAGUACGAGAGGACCGGAGUGGACGCAUCACUGGUGUUCGGGUUGUCAUGCCAAUGGCACUGCCCGGUAGCUAAAUGCGGAAGAGAUAAGUGCUGAAAGCAUCUAAGCACGAAACUUGCCCCGAGAUGAGUUCUCCCUGAGACUUUAAGUCUCCUGAAGGAACGUUGAAGACGACGACGUUGAUAGGUCGGGUGUGUAAGCGCAGCGAUGCGUUGAGCUAACCGAUACUAAUGAACCGUGAGGCUUAACCUU
rnacentral:rRNA from 1 species